GCCGUGAGGGGAAAGCGGAGCGUGCCGGGAUGGCGGGGAGGUUUGGCCGGGCAGGGACAGCAAAGCCCAGCUCAUCCCGCCCCUGCCGUGGCAGGGACACCUCCCACUGUCCCAGGUGCUCCCAGCCCCAGUGUCCAACCCGGCCUUGGGCACUGCCAGGGAUCCAGGGGCAGCCACAGCUGCUCUGGGCACCCUGUGCCAGGACCUGCCCACCCUCACAGGGAACAAUUCCUAACUCCCAAUAUCCCAUCCAGCCUCUGGCAGUGGGUUCCAUUCCCUGGCUCCUGUCCCUCCAUUCCUUGUCCCCAGUCCCUCUGCAGCUCUCCUGGAGCCCCUUCAGGCCCUGCAAGGGGCUCUGAGCUCUGCCUGGAUCCUUCUCCUCUCCAGGGGAGCAAACUUUCUUGCAAGAGCCAGGCUGUGGAACCAGCACUGAAGGCACUGGAAAUGCUGGAGAUGCCCCGUCACAGGUUUUGCACUGACCCAGCGCUUCCCUCACGCUGAAUCCCGAGCUGUCCCGUGGUAUGAUCCAGCACACUGCCAGCUGCAAUUUGCUGUCAUAAUUAAGUACCCUGCUCCCGUUAAUUU